rnacentral:rRNA from 1 species
UACGAAGGGGGCUAGCGUUGCUCGGAAUCACUGGGCGUAAAGCGCACGUAGGCGGCUUCUUAAGUCAGGGGUGAAAUCCUGGAGCUCAACUCCAGAACUGCCUUUGAUACUGAGGAGCUUGAGUUCGGGAGAGGUGAGUGGAACUGCGAGUGUAGAGGUGAAAUUCGUAGAUAUUCGCAAGAACACCAGUGGCGAAGGCGGCUCACUGGCCCGAUACUGACGCUGAGGCACGAAAGCGUGGGGAGCAAACAGG